GAUGAACGCUAGCGGCAGGCCUAAUACAUGCAAGUCGGACGGGAUUCAGGAGCUUGCUUCUGAUGAGAGUGGCGCACGGGUGCGUAACACGUAUGUAACCUACCUUUAUCAGGGGGAUAGCCUCUCGAAAGAGAGAUUAAGCCCGCAUAAAAUCACAGCACAGCAUUGUGUAAUGAUCAAAUAUUUAUAGGAUAAAGAUGGGCAUGCGGAACAUUAGCUAGAUGGCGGGGUAACGGCCCACCAUGGCGACGAUGUUUAGGGGAUCUGAGAGGAUGGCCCCCCACACUGGUACUGAGACACGGACCAGACUCCGACGGGAGGCAGCAGUAAGGAAUAUUGGUGGAUGGGCGGAAGCCUGAACCAGCCAUGCCGCGUGCAGGAAGACGGCCAUACGGGUUGUAAACUGCUUUUAUACGGGAAUAAACCCAGAUACGUGUAUCUGGCUGAAUGUACUGUAAGAAUAAGGAUCGGCUAACUCCGUG
rnacentral:rRNA from 1 species